GUGGUCAAUCGACAGUCAAAUUUUUAACGAAAUUUGGACUCAAAUAACUCUGCUGGUACCUUACAAAUCGAAAACAGAGCUACAUCACAUUAAAAGAUAUCUCUUCUCGUGUCCCUGAACCGAAAUUCAGCUUCUACAAAUAAAACGCCAAUCGAGGAGCGAAGUUUAAUGGGAGGUGGUCAAGCAUGAAAUGUUAUACUAAUUAAUUUCAAGCGCUGACAUCAAUAUGCAAAUUGCACGAGCAUGAAAACCUUGUCACGAUAAUAUUUCGUCACAAAACGUGUUGGUGAAACAAAAUAAAAUGUUUUUCUAGGUUUAAAAAGUUACUAUAUAAAUCGCUACUCACUAUAAAUCAUGAAAAAUGACAAUAAACAAGCUAGAAGGAAAGGACACAACCGGUCCAGAACAAUUUACAUUCAAAGAAACUGUAUUAACGACGUGUGUAUACGUUCUACUGAGAUUAUAAGUUGCCAACACAGUUUCCCGCUCCAAAACGAAACUAUUAAUUGUUGUCUUGAUAUGCGAGACUUUAUAUGUUUUACUAAGUGUUGAGUAACAAGUAAAAAUCUGUAAAAAGAUAAGGAAAGCCAAUGGCAAUGAAUUAGUCUUUACUAUAGUUGUGUUGCUAUAUACUGCUCAGAAUUUUCCCACGCUAGUAAACAGUGUCAGUACGGUACCGUAAUUUGCUUAGUUGACAAAUGUCAUUUACAAUAUUGUAUCGAUC